rnacentral:rRNA from 1 species
UACAGAGGUCUCAAGCGUUGUUCGGAUUCAUUGGGCGUAAAGGGUGCGUAGGCGGCGCGGUAAGUCGGGUGUGAAAUCUUGGAGCUUAACUCCGAAACUGCAUUCGAUACUGCCGUGCUUGAGGACUGGAGAGGAGACUGGAAUUUACGGUGUAGCGGUGAAAUGCGUAGAUAUCGUAAGGAAAACCAGUGGCGAAGGCGGGUCUCUGGACAGUUCCUGACGCUGAGGCACGAAGGCCAGGGGAGCAAACGGG